rnacentral:rRNA from 1 species
UACAGAGGAUGCAAGCGUUAUCCGGAAUGACUGGGCGUAAAGGGCGCGUAGGCGGACGGCUUUGUCGGGCGUGAAAUUCCAGGGCUUAACCUUGGGGCUGCGUUCGAGACGGGUUGUCUAGAGUUUGGAAGAGGGUCGUGGAAUUCCCAGUGUAGAGGUGAAAUUCGUAGAUAUUGGGAAGAACACCGGUGGCGAAGGCGGCGACCUGGUCCUUGACUGACGCUGAGGCGCGAAAGCGUGGGGAGCAAACAGG